rnacentral:lncRNA from 1 species
UUCUGCCAUUUUCUUGCUAUUUUGGGGAGCUUCUUGGGACUGAUCGUCCUGUUAUUACUCUAUAAAGGCAAAGACCUAUGGAGAAACUGUGCUUCUAAAAGUACUAGAGGAGUGAAAUCUGAAUGCUGAUCUUGUGAUGGGUAGAAGGCAAAGUAGUGGCUCGGUUUUAUAAUCACAAAGGCUAGACAUGAGCCUGUUUCAUGCUGAUCUAUGUUUGAAAAUCAACAUGUCAAGGUGAAGCGUCGGUU